rnacentral:rRNA from 1 species
UACGGGGGGGGUAAGCGUUGUUCGGAAUUACUGGGCGUAAAGGGCUCGUAGGCGGCCAACUAAGUCAGACGUGAAAUCCCUCAGCUUAACUGGGGAACUGCGUCUGAUACUGGAUGGCUUGGAUUCGGGAGAGGAAUGCGGAAUUCCAGGUGUAGCGGUGAAAUGCGUAGAUAUCUGGAGGAACACCUGUGGCGAAAGCGGCGCACUGGACCACAACUGACGCUGAGGCGCGAAAGCUAGGGGAGCAAACAGG